rnacentral:rRNA from 1 species
CCGCACGGGUGAGUAACACGUAUGCAAUCCACCUGUAACAGGGGGAUAACCCGGAGAAAUCCGGACUAAUACCCCAUAAUAUGGGCGCUCCGCAUGGAGAGCCCAUUAAAGAGAGCAAUUUUGGUUACAGACGAGCAUGCGCUCCAUUAGCCAGUUGGCGGGGUAACGGCCCACCAAAGCGACGAUGGAUAGGGGUUCUGAGAGGAAGGUCCCCCACAUUGGUACUGAGACACGGACCAA